rnacentral:rRNA from 2 species
CGCUCCCUCCGUUCGUCGAACCGGCAACGAACGCGUGCACUUUUCUCCUGGUAGGACGUCGCGAUCCGUUGGGCGUCAGUCUACGGCCCGUGGUGGAGCCCGCUCGUCGCUUUUUAGCGUUCGGACGGACCCGCGGUGUCCCGGCUGACUCGCUCGACGGUAUAAAGUAAGGUCGGAGGCCGCUCUCUCUUAGGAGCGUUCGACUCGGAGCAAGCGCGUCAGAUGUGUCGGCGACCGGACCCGGUGCCGAUUCCGGCCUCUGACGACUGUUGGCUUUCGAAGUUCUGAACAGACCUCUCGGACCGAUCUGCGACGCUAUAGCUUUGGGUACUUUCAGGACCCGUCUUGAAACACGGACCAAGGAGUCUAGCAUGUGCGCGAGUCAUUGGGAAUCACUAAACCUAAAGGCGUAAUGAAAGUGAAGGUCUUCCUUGCGGAGACCGAGGGAGGAAGGGCGGGCGUCGUUAAAAGCGCUCGUUCCGCACUCCCGGGGCGUCUCGUUCUCAUUGCGAGAAGAGGCGCACCAAGAGCGUACACGCUGGGACCCGAAAGAUGGUGAACUAUGCCUGGUCAGGACGAAGUCAGGGGAAACCCUGAUGGAGGUCCGUAGCGAUUCU